rnacentral:hammerhead_ribozyme from 1 species
GCACUGCUGAGGAGUCCCAUACUAGGACGAAAUGCCCAUCCAGUGC